CCUGAGAAACCCAAAAGAUCGAAUGGGGAGAUUCAUCGUCAACGCAUUUUGUAUAUGUAUGAGUUGUGAUGCGGGUUACUCUUUUUGAGUAUUGCCUGUACAUUCUCGUAUGUUUAGUGGCAAGAUGUCGUCGGCGUGCACUUCUCCCCUUAGUAGGACGUCGUGACCCGUUGGGUGUUGGUUUACGGCUCAAGUGGUAGCCUUUAGUGUUUUAUUUAUUUAUAACAUUAAAGACCCUUGGUGUUUUCUAACCAACUACCCGGCGGUAUUCGUACGGUAUUUAGCCGCAUUUUUUAUGCGUCCAUGUCCGUCGCAAGCGCGGUUAGAUUUCGAUAGUACGGACUUUGUGCCGACGUUGUGUCUGACCAGCUGUUGGUUGACGGUGUUCUAGGACUGGCUAAAAUUAUUACCGGUCGGCGAUGCUACUGCUU
rnacentral:rRNA from 1 species